rnacentral:rRNA from 1 species
GACGAACGCUGGCGGCGUGCUUAACACAUGCAAGUCGAACGGAAAGGCCCUGCUUUUGUGGGGUGCUCGAGUGGCGAACGGGUGAGUAACACGUGAGUAACCUGCCCUUGACUUUGGGAUAACUUCAGGAAACUGGGGCUAAUACCGGAUAGGAGCUCCUGCUGCAUGGUGGGGGUUGGAAAGUUUCGGCGGUUGGGGAUGGACUCGCGGCUUAUCAGCUUGUUGGUGGGGUAGUGGCUUACCAAGGCUUUGACGGGUAGCCGGCCUGAGAGGGUGACCGGCCACAUUGGGACUGAGAUACGGCCCAGGCUCCUACGGGAGGCAGCAGUGGGGAAUAUUGCACAAUGGGCGGAAGCCUGAUGCAGCAACGCCGCGUGCGGGAUGACGGCCUUCGGGUUGUAAGCCGCUUUCGCCUGUGACGAAGCGUGAGUGACGGUAAUGGGUAAAGAAGCACCGGCUAACUACGUG